rnacentral:miRNA from 1 species
AAAUGCCUCCAUAAGAUCCAACUGUAAGGCAUUUUCUUAAUUAGUGAUUGAGGGCCCAGCCCGCUGUGGGUGGUGCCAUCUCUGAGCUGGUGGUCCUG